GGGCAUUGGGAACUAGAUGAGGAAACCGUGGCAAAAACAGAUGAAAUAAGUCAUCUGAAGCCAUACAACCAAGAAAUUUCUGGCAAGAACUUCUGGCAGUCUCCUGUUUCCCAGAUGCCCGGCUCCUCACUGACGUGCACAUAACAGCAAAUCUAUAACAAUCCUCCUUCCAAUUACAUCAGGUGGUGGGGGGGGGGGCGCGAGCAGGAGGGCAUAAGAAGGUCAGUACCCUAGAAGGCAGCCUCAUUUACUCAUCCACUAAGAAAAUAAUGACUGAACACCUACCAGGUUCCAGGCACUUGGGAAAAGGCAGUGAGCAAGACUGAUGAAGGCCCCAGCCCGCAAAGCCUCAUAUUCAAAAGCUGGGACAGAGAUGAGAGAAAAGUAAAGAAAUAAACAAGACAUCCUGGAUGGCGAUAAAUGCCAUGAAGAUAAUAAAACAGGGUUAUGUGAUAGAAAAUGGCCAGAAAUGAGGAUAGCAGGUUUGAUGGAGGUCUUUUCAAGAGGACAUGCAAUCAGGACCCAAUCAUGCAAUGAUGUGUGGGAAGAACCUUCCCAUAGGCCGGAGGGAGGGAUGGGCUUGGUUUAUGUGACAAAGGCUAAGUGGCUGUAGCAGAGAGAACUAAGGGAAGAGAAGCAGAGGCUAGAUGAUGGUGAGCCUUAUAAUCGAUUCAAAGACAUUCCAAGUAAGUGCAAAAGGAGGCCAUCAGAGGGGCCCUUGUGGACAUUGCAAUACAAUGUUGAAGUCCAAAAACAAUAGUCUAUUCAUUGACCUACCCUUAUUUCCUAAACUCUAAAUAAUGCUCAAUAAUUUUUUUUUAACCAAUUUACAAAUGGUUUUUUUACUUGUGCCUUCGUUUUGUUUUUGUUUUUUGUUUUGUUUUGUUGUUAUACUUCUAGCGUACAAUGUGCAGGUUUGUUACAUACGUAUACAUGUGCCAUGUUGGUGUGCUGCACCCAUUAACUCAUGAUUUAUAUUAGGUAUAUCUCCUAAUGCUAUCCCUCCCCCCUCCCCCCACCCCACCAUAGGCCCCAGUAUGUGAUGUUCCCCACCCUGUGUCCAAGUGUUCUUAUUUUCACUUCCCACCUGUGAGUGAGAACAUGCGGUAUUUGGUUUUCUGCCCUUGUGAUAGUUUGCUCAGAAUGAUGGUUUCCAGCUUCAUCCAUGUCCCUACAAAGGACAUGAAUUCAUCCUUUUUAUGGCUGCAUAGUAUUCCAUGGUGUAUAUGUGCCACAUUUCCUUAAUCCAGUCUAUCAUUGAUGGACAUUUGGGUUGGUUCCCAGUCUUUGCUAUUGUGAAUAGUGCCG
rnacentral:lncRNA from 10 species